GACGAACGCUGGCGGCGUGCCUAAUACAUGCAAGUCGAGCGGACUUGAAGGAGCUUGCUCCUGAUGGUCAGCGGCGGACGGGUGAGUAACACGUGGGCAACCUGCCUGUAAGACUGGGAUAACUUCGGGAAACCGGAGCUAAUACCGGAUACGUUCUUUUCUCGCAUGAGAGAAGAUGGAAAGACGGUUUCGGCUGUCACUUACAGAUGGGCCCGCGGCGCAUUAGCUAUUUGGUGGGGUAAUGGCCCACCAAGGCGACGAUGCGUAGCCGACCUGAGAGGGGGAUCGGCCACACUGGGACUGAGACACGGCCCAGACUCCUACGGGAGGCAGCAGUAGGGAAUCUUCCGCAAUGGACGAAAGUCUGACGGAGCAACGCCGCGUGAGUGAAGAAGGUUUUCGGAUCGUAAAACUCUGUUGUCAGGGAAGAACAAGUACCAUAGUAACUGAUGGUACCUUGACGGUACCUGACCAGAAAGCCACGGCUAACUACGUGCCAGCCGCCGCCGUAAAAC
rnacentral:rRNA from 1 species